GAAUUGAUGAGGUAAAUCCUCAUCUGUUCUUCCAGAGAUGGAAAAACAGAAAAUGAUGAGUGGGUGUAUAUGAUUCUAUGAUUAGAAUCGCCUGGAUCUUGGGGAGAUAACACCCUUGAGUAACCCAUUCUGAA